AUACGUAGGGGGCGAGCGUUGUCCGGAAUUAUUGGGCGUAAAGGGCGCGUAGGCGGCCCGGUAAGUCUGGAGUGAAAGUCCUGUUUUUAAGAUGGGAAUUGCUUUGGAUACUGUCGGGCUUGAGUGCAGGAGAGGUAAGUGGAAUUCCCAGUGUAGCGGUGAAAUGCGUAGAGAUUGGGAGGAAGACCAGUGGCGAAGGCGACUUACUGGACUGUAACUGACGCUGAGGCGCGAAAGUGUGGGGAGCAAACAGGAUUAGAUACCCUGGUAGUCCACACUGUAAACGAUGAAUGCUAGGUGUAGUGGGUAUCGACCCCUUCUGUGCCGCAGUCAACACAAUAAGCAUUCCGCCUGGGGAGUACGGCCGCAAGGUUGAAACUCAAAGGAAUUGGCGGGG
rnacentral:rRNA from 1 species